GUCCAGGCCAGCAUCGGUUCUGAGGGUCGGUCAAAGGCCUUGGGAAUGUAUCUACCUACGGGUAGACUUAUAGACCAGGGUGUCAUGCGGCCUCUCGGGACCGAGGAACGCGCUUCGGCUCGGAUGUUGGCGUAAUGGUUGUCAGCGA
rnacentral:rRNA from 1 species